AGAUGUGAGGGAAUCUCCCUGUGACAUCUAUCACACGGUAGAUGAUCUGGCAGGUUAGGCAGGUGUCUUCUUUUCCUCCGUUCCACUUUGUGCACAUCCCUCCAAAAGCUUGGUGCUUGGUUUAGAAGGAAAACUUUCUCUAAUCCAGGCGAACCAUUCUGCAGUCAAGUGUACCUAUCCUGGUAGCUGUGCUCCCCUACCAGAGCCUCCAAACAAGCUCUCAAGGUCCAACUGCUAGUGCAGCAAGAUUUAAUGUCACAGUGGCAGGAUUGUACCCAACCUGC
ensembl:misc_RNA 7SK 7SK RNA